rnacentral:miRNA from 1 species
AAAUGGUUCGUGAGGCUGCC